AUGCUGGCUUCUCAGCUUCUAGAGCUCCUACCCCAACAAUGGCAGCUUCUGCUAGUAAUCCUCCCACUCGUUUCCCUGCUCUUCCUCCUACACAGGAGCCGGAACAGGUCCGGUAGCAUUAGGCUGCCACCAGGGCCCUGGCAGCUGCCCGUCCUGGGCAACCUGCACCAGAUCGGCCCACUGGCCCACCGGAGCCUGUUGGCGCUCUCAAAGCGGCACGGGCCGGUGAUGAUGCUGUGGUUGGGCAUGGUCCAGACGGUGGUGCUGUCCUCGCCGGAGGCCGCACGCGAGGCUCUCAAGACCCACAACGUCGACUGCUCCGGCCGGUCCCCCUCGGCAGGGCCACGGUUGCUGUCAUAUGGCUACAAGGACGUCAUCUUCUCCCCAUAUGGCGAGUACGUCCAGGAGAUGCGCAAGCUUUUCUCCUUGAGCUCACUAGUAGAAAACAGGGUUUUGGUCACAGGGCAAUAUUCACAUUAG
rnacentral:rRNA from 1 species